GAUGAACGCUGGCGGCGUGCCUAAUACAUGCAAGUCGAGCGAACAGAUAAGGAGCUUGCUCCUUUGACGUUAGCGGCGGACGGGUGAGUAACACGUGGGUAACCUACCUAUAAGACUGGAAUAACUCCGGGAAACCGGGGCUAAUGCCGGAUAACAUUUAGAACCGCAUGGUUCUAAAGUGAAAGAUGGUUUUGCUAUCACUUAUAGAUGGACCCGCGCCGUAUUAGCUAGUUGGUAAGGUAACGGCUUACCAAGGCAACGAUACGUAGCCGACCUGAGAGGGUGAUCGGCCACACUGGAACUGAGACACGGUCCAGACUCCUACGGGAGGCAGCAGUAGGGAAUCUUCCGCAAUGGGCGAAAGCCUGACGGAGCAACGCCGCGUGAGUGAUAAAGGUCUUCGGAUCGUAAAACUCUGUUAUUAGGGAAGAACAAAUGUGUAAGUAACUGUGCACGUCUUGACGGUACCUAAUCAGAAAGCCACGGCUAACUACGUG
rnacentral:rRNA from 1 species